AGUAACUUGGCCAGGCUGGCCCCGAGCGGAACUGGAGAAAGCUGAGGGGUCUGUGAAAUGGUGGGGGCUUACAAAUCGGUGCAGCUUGGACUAACAGGCUCCGGCGGCCACUUUGUUUUCUGGACAUGCUUUGGACUGUGAGCCGAGCCUCUAUGAAUCAUCACUUCAGCCUCUGAUUGGUCCUGGGCCAAACUUUCACUUCAGCCCCUGAUUGGUCUUGGGCCAAAAUUUCACU
rnacentral:lncRNA from 1 species